UUUGCUUGAGGUGGCAAAAGUCGUAGUAGAAGAAAUAUCCACGACCCCUCAACCCAAGUCUUUACUCUCUCUCUCUCUCUCUCUCUCUCUCUGUGAAGUAGGGUGAUAUGGGACAUGGGCAAUCUUCUAUCCUCAGAUUUCAUUUUUUGGUUAUAUAGUGGUGAAGAGAGCUUUCUUUAGUCCAUUCAUGGGUGGCGACAGGAUUUAAUUAGCUGCCGAGUCAUUCAUCCAAAUACUGGGUUAUUAGCUCAGGACGACACCCAGUAAAUGUGUGAAUGAAGCGGGAGACAAAUUGGAUCUUGAGCUUCCUGUACUUGGACUGAAGGGAGCUCCCUUAAUUAAUUACUUCAGUUCCUCUUUCCUUAAUUUUUAUCAUGCUUUAAUUCGUAUAUAUACUUAAUUAAUUGCUUCAAUCUCUUUAAUUUUUUUCGUUUACCUUAUAUUAUUACUAAUAUAUGAGUUAUAAAAUGUUUAAUAACUCCAUGAAAAGAUUCAUCUCACUUCCAUCUAUCCCUAUUUGAUAUGAGCUAUGAUUAAUGAGCUUGAACUUAUCCCUUGAGUAUUUUUAGCCCAUAUCUAGAUUAGCUUGACUUUUCGCUUAUAUGAGUUUAUCUUGUCGGUUAACUAAAAAGGAUCUAUAUAUAUAUAUAUUACUGCCUUAUAUAAAAUUAAUUUAGUUAGCUAUAUAUCUACUAAUGUAUAUAUCUAUCUAUUUCUAUCUUAGCUUUGGAUAUAUGGAUAAAGUAAUUAUUUUCGUCAGUUUCAGCUAGGGUUAUGCUAUAUAUGUUCCUCUUUCUAGGAGGAUUUAUCAAAACAUGUCAGCUGGAUUAGUUGAGUUCGAUUUCCAUUGCACCGAAUCUUUUUUGUUCAGUUCUGCCUCUGCUUCCUCACUGACAGAAUCCCAGCUGAAACUCUAAAUUUAUUUAUUUUUCUUAACUUGAAAUCCAACAUAUUGGUCGACAAAGAAGCACUUUUGAGAGGAAUAAAAUAUUGAAGGCAAGGCAUGAAGAAGAGAGGAAGCCUACAAAUUAAGCUCACACGCUCACACGCUUUACAACAUUAGCUUCUUGGUUCUUGAUCUCCCACAGCAACAAGUUCCCAGACAUGUCUCCCACAGGCUCUGCUUCAAUUACCAAAAUGUCCUCUCAUAUAUGCGUGGAUACGUUUUUAUUCAUUUAGAGCUGGCUAAAAACUAUUUAUUGAGAAAAGAUUUGUUGUUGUUGUAGAGCUGACUAGAAAAUUGUUAAAAAUAAUGUUCACUUAAUUUCUUUGGGUUUUAAUUUGUAUAUAUAUUUUCUUCAAUGCCUAUAUUCUACUAUGCACGGUGCAGAUUUAGUGUUCUUUUU